rnacentral:lncRNA from 1 species
UAUAAAGAUCUACUCAGUAUGGACAAGUUGUUCUUCAUCCAGCGCUAUGGAAUUCGGCUUUGCUCGUCGUGGAUCUUUAUUGUCACUUACGUAUGGUUUUUGCGCUUUCUAUUCUCUGUAUUUCCAUAAAAAGAGUAGCAUAUUGUCAAUGUUGUUCAUCAGUAGCUUCUUCUACAUCCACCUGAAAAGCCAGAAUUGGUCAAUGCUAAUCACGGAGAUAUAACAAAAUGAAAAAGUAUAACUCAUCUCUUCUAGCAAAUCAAACAGGUCUUCCUCAUAUUUUAAAUUACCCCAAAUAGAUUAUAUUUUUGUUGCAAUAAUGAAUCAAUUGUUGGGAUAAAUUUCUACAUAAAGAAGACCCUGUAUGAUAAUUUCUAACAGAUGAACCAUCUGUUGCAACAUAUGAAUCAUCUGUUGAAGCAGAUAGGUCGUCUGUCGGUACAAAUAAAAACGGUACGAAGACCUGUUUGAUUUGCUAAAAUAGAUGAGAUAUAUGUUGCACCAGAUACUUUAUCUGGUGCAACAGGUUAGUCAACUGUUGCAAUAGAUGUAUAUAUCUGUUUGAUAAUUUUCAGCUAAUGUGUCAUCUAUUGAAACAAAUAUGUGUCUGUUUGUUUUGUCAGUUGGAAGGCAUAUAUAUUCACCUUCUUCAGCUUGUGCUACUCUCCUUUGGACAUUGUACGUUGCUCAGUGCAACACAUAGGCAGAUGAGUUGCAAUUUUACUUUUUUGGAUGCUUGAUAAUGCCCUAGAAAUCACUUUUUUUCUCCUCUUAGCCCUAAUCUCUAAUGGAGCGGAUGGAAAUAAAAUCCUCUUUGAUGGAAUGAGACCCCUCUUAGAUAUCAAUUCCUUUACAGAAGCAGUUAAUGCAUUAAUAACAUUAAUCAAUACAUCAUGUUUCACCCUGCAGUCUUGACAGUUGCAUGCAGAACAUUCAUCGGGAGAGGCAAAAUCUGUAUAACUAGUAUGAUCAUACUCAUAAUGUUUUGCUUUAAAUACUGUAAGAGGAGCAUCAUUAGCACCAACAGCAGCACCACUACCGCCACCAACAACUCCAUCACCACUAAGACCAUCAACAACAACAAGCCCAUCCUCCAAAAUUAUAUUUUUUGUAAUGGUUGUUGCUCCAAACAAUUUCAUUUUUAUUCUGUCGAUGACCUUAGGGUUCGAUAAAGUUUGCACAGACCGUAAAGUAAGAAAAAAUGGCAUCUUCAACUCUCGAUUGGUCGAAACUAGCGACAGAUGCACAAUCUAACAUAAAUCAUUACAUAUAUUAGAAUGAUGAUUAGAUCAUUACAAAAAUCAUUAAUUAAAAGAAAAAAUUAAUUAUAAUUAUACUUACUGUAUCCUUCGGCGGGUUGAAG